rnacentral:rRNA from 1 species
AGGUAGUAACAGAGGUUCGAUUAUGGCUCAGAUUGAACGCUGGCGGGAUGCUUUACACGGCAUGCAAGUCGAACGGCAGCACGAGACUUCGGUCUGGCGGCGAGUGGCAGGCGUUGAGAGUAAUGUAUCGGAACGUGCCUAGUAGCGAAGGGGGAUAACUACGCGAAAGCGUAGCUAAUACCACGCCUACGCCCUUCGAAAAGCAGAGGGACCUUCGGGCCUCGCACUAUUAAACGGCCGAUAUCGGAUUAGCUAGUUGGUGGGAGUAACGGCUCACCAAGGCGACGAUCCGUAGCUGGUUUGAGAGGAACGACCAGCCACACUGGGACUGAGACACGGCCCAGACUCCUACAGGGGAGCAGCAGUGGGGAAUUUUUGGACAAUGGGGAAACCUGAUCCAGCCAUCCCGCGUGUGCGAUGAAGGCCUUCGGGUUGUAAAGCACUUUUGGCAGGAAAGAAACGGCACGGGAUAAUACCCCGUGCAACUGACGGUACCUGCAGAAUAAGCACGGCCCCAACUACGUGCCAGCAGCGCGUAAUACGUAGGGUGCAAGCGUUAAUCGGAAUUACUGGGCGUAAAGCGUGCGCAGGCGGUUCGGAAAGAAAGAUGUGAAAUCCCAGAGCUUAACUUUGGAACUACAUUUUUAACUACCGAGCUAGAGUGUGUCAGGGAGGUGGAAUUCGCGUGUAGCAGUGGUAAUGCGUAGAUAUGCGGAGGAACACCGAUGGCGAGCAGCCUCCUGGGAUAACACUGACGCUCAUGCACGAAAGCGUGGGAGCAAACAGGAUUGAAUACCCUGGUAGUCCACGCCUAAACGAUGUCAACUAGCUGUUGGGGCCUUCGGGCCUUGGUAGCGCAGCUAACGCGUGAAGUUGACCGCCUGGGAAGGCCACCGGUCGCAAGAUUAAAACUCAAAGGAAUUGACGGGGACCCGCACAAGCGGUGGAUGAUGUGGAUUAAUUCGAUGCAACGCGAAAAACCUUACCUACCCUUGACAUGUCUGGAAUCCCGAAGAGAUUUGGGAGUGCUCGCAAGAGAAACCGGAACACAGGUGCUGCAUGGCUGUCGUCAGCUCAUUGUCGUGAGAUGUUGGGUUAAGUCCGCAACAGGCGCAACCCUUGUCAUUAGUUGCUACGAAGGGCAUAAUGAGACUGCCGGUGACAAACCGGAGGAAGGUGGGGAUGACGUCAGAAUCCUCAUGGCCCAUAUGGGUAGGGCUUCACACGUCAUACAAUGGUCCAGGUAGAGGGUCGCCAACCCGCGAAGGGGAGCCAAUCCCGAAACCCGAUCGUAGUCCGGAUCGCAGUCUGCAACUCGACUGCGUGAAGUCGGAAUCGCUAGUAAUCGCGGAUCAGCAUGUCGCGGUGAAUACGUUCCGGGUCUUGUACACACCGCCCGUCACACCAUGGGAGUGGGUUUUACCAGAAGUAGUUAGCCUAACCGUAAGGAGGGCGAUUACACGGUAGGAUUCAUGACUGGGGUGAAGUCGUAACAAAAAGGUAG